rnacentral:rRNA from 1 species
AUAGACCACCAGGUGUUCGUCCUGCGUCAGCACAUGGUCACCCACUCCGCACCGGAGGGGCCGGGCGCAGCGAGCCCUCUGCUGGUGGGGCGUGCUUUUGAGGAGCAGCUGCGCGUCCCACCGCACCUGUUUCGCAUCACGGCGCAUCACCCGGAGCACUUCUUCGUCUACUUCGAGCUCCCCGCGCUCUGUGACAACGCCGUGGCAAGGGGCUUCUUCAUGGUGGACGGAGUUCGCUUCAACAUCAACCCCUGGCAUGAAGACGACCAUGCGGCGCUGCUCAACCUCACCCUCCACGUGUGCAUCGUCAUCGAGAACCUCCCGAUGCACUUCUGGUCCUUGGAGGGGGCAGAGGAGGCGCUGGGGAAGAUGUGUCGCGUCAAUCGCCUCGACAGCAGGACGCACGAGCGUGACCACACCAAGCUCUUCGCCUGCUGGAUUUGG